rnacentral:rRNA from 1 species
AGAGUUUGAUCCUGGCUCAGGACGAACGCUGGCGGCGUGCUUAACACAUGCAAGUCGAGCGGAAAGGCCCUUCGGGGUACUCGAGCGGCGAACGGGUGAGUAACACGUGAGUAACCUGCCCCUAGCUCUGGGAUAGCUCCGGGAAACCGGGAUUAAUACCAGAUAUGACCACUCUAGACAUCUUCUGUGGUGGAAAGGAUUCCGGCUAGGGAUGGGCUCGCGGCCUAUCAGCUUGUUGGUGGGGUAACGGCCCACCAAGGCGACGACGGGUAGCCGGCCUGAGAGGGCGACCGGCCACACUGGACUGAGACACGGCCCAGACUCCUACGGGAGGCAGCAGUGGGGAAUAUUGCGCAAUGGGCGAAAGCCUGACGCAGCGACGCCGCGUGGGGGAUGAAGGCCUUCGGGUUGUAAACCCCUUUCAGCAGGGACGAAGCGAAAGUGACGGUACCUGCAGAAGAAGCGCCGGCUAACUACGUGCCAGCAGCCGCGGUAACACGUAGGGCGCAAGCGUUGUCCGGAAUUAUUGGGCGUAAAGAGCUCGUAGGCGGUCUGUUGCGUCCGCUGUGAAAACUCGGGGCUUAACCCCGAGCCUGCAGUGGAUACGGGCAGACUAGAGGUAGGUAGGGGAGAAUGGAAUUCCCGGUGUAGCGGUGAAAUGCGCAGAUAUCGGGAGGAACACCGGUGGCGAAGGCGGUUCUCUGGGCCUUACCUGACGCUGAGGAGCGAAAGCGUGGGGAGCGAACAGGAUUAGAUACCCCCGUAGUCC